rnacentral:misc_RNA from 1 species
GAAAUGCGAAAAGCAAUGCGAAUUGCAGAAUUCCGCGAGUCAUCAGAUCUUCGAACGCAUCUGGCGCCGAUCGGAACUCCGAUUGGCAUGUUUGUUUCAGUGUGUUGUUAAGACUCAUAUAUCUCAAUGUGAUUGACUCCCGGUGGAUACCUAGUAUCCGCUUGCUGGUAGUCUCUCAUGAAAUGAGCGCUGUGCGAACCGCACUGAUGCAGUAGUCAGUCCUUGUGAUUGAUACUCGUUGGUGUCGGUAAUAAGCUACAGUGAAAUCAAAAUAUAUCAUCACCUACGCAUCUGAGACAAGCAAGAACACCCGCUGAACUUAA